ensembl:lincRNA
CCCAAGAGUUUCUGUUGCGUACUCGGUGAUGGAAACAUUUGCUUUUCUCUUUGCUUUUCAUCACCUCUAGGUUUUGAACAUCAGCCCUGUGGUGAGAGACAUCAUGAUGAAUGGAACCUUCCAAAUCAUCCGCCUUUAUUUCGCCGAGUUCACGAGCUACGACUGGAUUUCCUGGUUCACGCUGAAACUGAGUCCAGUCCUUCCCAGCUUGACUGCAGAGAUGCUCCAGACAGUAACAUCAUAUACCGACUGCAACGCAUACCACAUCAUGUACGUAACGCUUUCCAUAUGCUAGCCAGCUCUGCAAUGUUUUCAGUUAACUGCAUCAUGCUUAGAUUUCUUCUGCCGUGUUUUGAUCCAAUCUAGCGUCGGGGCUCUGAGCAGCCACUUUGAGCAGAUGACAUCGCUGAGACAGCAGGAGCUCACCGCAGUCCUGUUGGGCUACCUAAAGCAGAGUCAGGCAUCAGGUAGGUCCAGCAUAGGCAGAGCUUGUUUGUCUUGUGGGCUAAAUAAAAUAUCAAUUCUUGGUGUCUGUGCAUCUUCGUCCGUCCUAACGAGUCUCUUUUGCACGUCCCUGUCGCAGGCUCAACCUGUGGGUCCGACACCAGCAGCCUCAGUGUUUGGCUUGAAGAGAGCUUUGGCAAAUUCUCUGUCUACGUGGACUACCAAGACCUGCGUGCACUCAACGAGGCAUUUGGAAGUUUCCAGGCACUGGACCUUCUGAGUGCCUCUCAAGUUGCUCAGCUGACCCUAACAUCUGGAGCGCUGAACAACGCAGAUCUGAUCACCAUGGUCUUUGAGCGUCUUGACGGCAGCAAUGCUUUCCAGGAUGUGGACCAGUUCUUGACGGUUCUCACCCAGACCUCGCAGGUACGUUCCCAUCCAUGAGAUAGCAAGCGCGCAGCUGUUCCGCUUUGUUUAGAAAAUUGUUAAAACAAGAUAGCCCGGGACAUUUUGUGUUGUACUCUGAAAUGGGAAUGUUGCCUUUCCUUUUGUUUGACCAUGAUUUUAGUACCCGACCCUGACCGUAGCCCAACAUAGCCCAAGAGUUUCUGUUGCGUACUCGGUGAUGGAAACAUUUGCUUUUCUCUUUGCUUUUCAUCACCUCUAGGUUUUGAACAUCAGCCCUGUGGUGAGAGACAUCAUGAUGAAUGGAACCUUCCAAAUCAUCCGCCUUUAUUUCGCCGAGUUCACGAGCUACGACUGGAUUUCCUGGUUCACGCUGAAACUGAGUCCAGUCCUUUCCAGCUUGACUGCAGAGAUGCUCCAGACAGUAACAUCAUAUACCGACUGCAACGCAUACCACAUCAUGUACGUAACGCUUUCCAUAUGCUAGCCAGCUCUGCAAUGUUUUCAGUUAACUGCGUCAUGCUUAGAUUUCUUCUGCCGUGUUUUGAUCCAAUCUAGCGUCGGGGCUCUGAGCAGCCACUUUGAGCAGAUGACAUCGCUAAGACAGCAGGAGCUCACCGCAGUCCUGUUGGGCUACCUAAAGCAGAGUCAGGCAUCAGGUAGGUCCAGCAUAUUCAGCGCUUGUUUGUCUUGUGGGCUAAAUAAAAUAUCAAUACUUGGUGUCUGUGCAUCUUCGUCCGUCCUAACGAGUCUCUUUUGCACGUCCCUGUCGCAGGCUCAACCUGUGGGUCCGACACCAGCAGCCUCAGUGUUUGGCUUGAAGAGAGCUUUGGCAAAUUCUCUGUCUACGUGGACUACCAAGACCUGCGUGCACUCAACGAGGCAUUUGGAAGUGUAAGGGGCCCACCGUGCCACUUGGUUGUUCUGGUGACUGCUUUGAGCAUGCACGUUGUUUCUACAGACGUUGUUGUUGUUGUUUUCCCUUCUGCAGUUCCAGGCACUGGACCUUCUGAGUGCCUCUCAAGUUGCUCAGCUGACCCUAACAUCUGGAGCGCUGAACAACGCAGAUCUGAUCACCAUGGUCUUUGAGCGUCUUGACGGCAGCAAUGCUUUCCAGGAUGUGGACCAGUUCUUGACGGUUCUCACCCAGACCUCGCAGGUACGUUCCCAUCCAUGAGAUGGCAAGCGCGCAGCUGUUCCGCUUUGU